UACGGAGGGUGCAAGCGUUAUCCGGAUUCACUGGGUUUAAAGGGUGCGUAGGUGGGUUGGUAAGUCAGUGGUGAAAUCUCCGAGCUUAACUUGGAGACUGCCAUUGAUACUAUCAGUCUUGAAUACUGUGGAGGUCAGCGGAAUAUGUCAUGUAGCGGUGAAAUGCUUAGAUAUGACAUAGAACACCAAUUGCGAAGGCAGCUGGCUACACAAAUAUUGACACUGAGGCACGAAAGCGUGGGGAUCAAACAGG
rnacentral:rRNA from 1 species